GCCCUUCUUGGUCAUUUAGAGGAAGUAAAAGUCGUAACAAGGUUUCCGUAGGUGAACCUGCGGAAGGAUCAUUACAGAAAGUAAACGCGGAUCAAACCGCGAACUUUUAAACCUUUGACGAUUGACUCAUGUUGCCUCGGCGGGUUCUCCCGCCAGAGGAUACAUCAAAACUCCUGUUUUAACGGUGUUGUCUGAGCUACAAGCAACGAAUCAAAACUUUCAACAACGGAUCUCUUGGUUCUGGCAUCGAUGAAGAACGCAGCGAAAUGCGAUAAGUAGUGUGAAUUGCAGAAUUCAGUGAAUCAUCGAAUCUUUGAACGCACAUUGCGCCCCUUGGUAUCCCGAGGGGCAUGCCUGUUCGAGCGUCAUUUCACCACUCAAGCCUGGCUUGGUGUUGGGCGACGUCCCCUUUGGGGACGCGCCUCGAAACGCUCGGCGGCGUGGCACCGACUUUAAGCGUAGCAGAAUCUUUCGCUUUGAAAGUUGGGGCCCCGUCUGCCGGAAGACCUACUGGCAAGGUUGACCUCGGAUCAGGCAGGGAUACCCGCUGAACUUAAGCAUAUCAUUAAGCGGAGGAA
rnacentral:rRNA from 1 species